rnacentral:snRNA from 1 species
GUGCUCACUUCAGCAGCACAUAUACUAAACCUGGAACAAUACAGAAAAUAUUAUCAUGGCCCAUGUGCAAGAAAUAGGCUUUGCAAUUUAAAACAUUACUUGUUUUU